UGUGGCUCAGCGGUAGAGCACUCGCCUAGCAUGUGUGAGGCCCUGGGUUUGAUCCUCAGCA
rnacentral:tRNA from 1 species